AUGGAUGAGCCACAGAUGUUCAAACCUCCGUAUGAGCUGAGUCCAGAAGCUGCAUACAGUAUUCAGAUUCUGAAAAGUGCAAAUAUUAAAAAUCCAGCACUGGAUUUAAUUUUUAAGAGUGGUUUCAAUGUUGAUUUUAAAACAAAAUCCGUAGCCCUAGGAGGAUGAAUGGGCCUAAACCAAACACAACUCCGAAAAAUUCUGGCCUUUUCAUCCAUCGCCCACCUAGGAUGGCUAACCGCAGUCAUCAUCUACAACCCUGAACUCGCCCUACUAACUUUCUACUUAUAUAUCCUAAUAACCACUACUGUAUUCCUCACCCUCAACUCAACCAAAACCCUAAAGCUAACAACCCUAAUAACAUCAUGAACAAAAUCCCCUACACUAAACGCAACCCUCAUACUAGUUCUACUCUCCCUAGCAGGGCUUCCCCCACUAACAGGCUUCCUACCCAAAUGACUCAUCAUCCAAGAACUAACCAAACAAGAAAUAGCCUCAACAGCCACAAUCAUUGCUACCCUCUCCCUCCUAGGACUAUUCUUUUACCUCCGUCUCGCAUACCACUCAACAAUUACACUACCACCCAACUCUACGAACCACAUAAAACUAUGGCACCUUACCAAGCCGACAAGUACCACAAUCGCCGCCCUCGCCGCCCUAUCAGUAUUAACCUUACCGCUCUCCCCUCUAAUCCUGACUACCACCUAGAAACUUAGGAUAACUAAUAAACCGAAGGCCUUCAAAGCCUUAAAUAAGAGUUAAACCCUCUUAGUUUCUGCUAAGAUCCGCAGGACACUACCCUGCAACCCCUGAAUGCAACUCAGAUACUUUAAUUAAGCUAGGACCUUACCUAGAUAGAUGGGCCUCGAUCCCAUAAAACCCUAGUUAACAGCUAGGUGCCCUAACCAGUGAGCUUCUACCUACCAGACCCUGGCACGUCCUUAACGCACAUCAAUGAGUUUGCAACUCACUAUGAACUUCACUACAAGGUCGAUAAGAAAGGGAAUUAAACCCCUGUAAAAAGGACUACAGCCUAACGCUUAAACACUCAGCCAUCUUACCUGUGACACUUAUCAAUCGAUGACUAUUCUCAACCAACCACAAAGACAUCGGCACUCUAUACCUAAUCUUCGGCGCAUGGGCUGGCAUAGUCGGCACCGCCCUUAGCCUUCUUAUCCGCGCAGAACUUGGCCAACCUGGCACCCUCUUAGGCGAUGACCAAAUCUACAAUGUAAUCGUCACCGCUCAUGCUUUCGUAAUAAUCUUCUUCAUAGUCAUACCAAUCAUAAUUGGAGGCUUUGGAAACUGACUUGUCCCACUCAUAAUUGGCGCCCCCGACAUAGCCUUCCCACGCAUAAACAACAUGAGCUUCUGAUUACUCCCCCCAUCCUUCCUCCUCCUACUAGCCUCUUCAACAGUAGAAGCAGGGGCUGGCACCGGGUGGACUGUCUACCCCCCACUAGCCGGCAACAUAGCCCACGCCGGCGCUUCGGUAGACCUAGCUAUCUUUUCCCUCCAUCUAGCAGGUAUCUCAUCCAUCUUAGGGGCCAUUAACUUUAUCACAACAGCCAUUAACAUAAAACCCCCAGCCCUCUCCCAAUACCAAACACCCCUAUUCGUAUGAUCCGUUCUUAUUACCGCUGUCCUACUAUUACUCUCACUCCCCGUCCUAGCUGCUGGCAUCACUAUAUUACUUACAGACCGAAACCUCAACACAACAUUCUUCGACCCCGCUGGCGGCGGUGACCCAAUUCUGUACCAACACCUCUUCUGAUUCUUCGGACACCCCGAAGUCUACAUCCUAAUUCUCCCAGGCUUUGGGAUCAUCUCCCACGUAGUAACAUAUUACGCAGGCAAAAAAGAGCCAUUUGGCUACAUAGGAAUAGUCUGAGCCAUACUCUCCAUCGGAUUCCUAGGCUUCAUCGUAUGAGCCCACCAUAUAUUCACAGUAGGAAUAGACGUAGACACCCGAGCAUACUUCACAUCUGCCACUAUAAUCAUCGCUAUUCCGACCGGUAUUAAAGUAUUCAGCUGACUGGCAACACUACAUGGAGGGACUAUCAAAUGAGACCCGCCCAUACUAUGAGCCCUAGGCUUCAUCUUCCUCUUCACCAUCGGAGGCCUAACCGGGAUCGUCCUAGCGAACUCCUCACUAGACAUCGCCCUGCACGAUACAUACUACGUAGUUGCCCACUUCCACUAUGUCCUCUCAAUAGGAGCCGUCUUCGCCAUCCUAGCAGGAUUCACUCACUGAUUCCCCCUACUAACAGGAUUCACCCUACACCCCACAUGAGCCAAAGCACAUUUUGGGGUUAUAUUCACAGGAGUAAACCUAACCUUCUUCCCACAGCACUUCUUAGGCCUUGCCGGAAUACCCCGACGGUACUCAGACUACCCAGAUGCCUACACCCUAUGAAACACCAUGUCCUCUAUCGGCUCACUAAUCUCAAUAACGGCCGUAAUUAUGCUAAUAUUCAUUAUCUGAGAAGCCUUCGCCUCAAAACGAAAAGUCCCACAACCAGAUUUAACUACAACCAACGUUGAAUGAAUCCACGGCUGCCCACCUCCAUACCACACCUUCGAAGAACCAGCCUUCGUCCAAGUACAAGAAAGGAAGGAAUCGAACCCUCGUACACUGGUUUCAAGCCAGCCGCAUCUAACCACCUAUGCUUCUUUCUUCCCAUGGGAUGUUAGUAAAACAAUUACUUAAUCUUGUCAAGAUUAAACCACAGAUGAAAAUCCUGUACACCCCACCAUGGCCAACCACUCACAACUUGGAUUCCAAGACGCCUCGUCCCCCAUUGUAGAAGAACUCAUUGAAUUCCACAACCACGCCCUAAUAGUUGCACUAGCCAUCUGCAGCCUAGUCCUAUACCUCCUAGCACUUAUACUAAUAGAAAAACUAUCCUCAAACACUGUAGACGCUCAAGAAAUCGAACUAAUCUGAACAAUCCUACCAGCCAUCGUCCUUAUCAUACUUGCCCUCCCAUCCUUACAAAUCCUGUACAUAAUAGAUGAAAUCAACGAGCCGGACCUCACACUAAAGGCCAUCGGCCAUCAAUGGUACUGAACCUACGAGUACACGGACUUUAAAGAUCUGACAUUCGACUCCUACAUAAUCCCAACAACAGACCUUCCACCAGGACACUUCAAAGUACUCGAAGUCGACCACGGCGUGAUCAUCCCAAUAGAAUCUCCUAUCCGCAUCAUCGUCACAGCCAACGAUGUCCUCCAUGCUUGAGCAGUCCCCGCACUGGGUGUAAAAACUGAUGCAAUCCCAGGACGCCUAAACCAAACAUCAUUCAUCACAACCCGACCCGGAAUCUUCUACGGCCAAUGUUCAGAAAUCUGCGGGGCUAACCACAGCUACAUGCCAAUUGUAGUAGAAUCAACCCCCCUAACCCACUUCGAACACUGAUCAUCACUCAUAUCUUCCUAAU